rnacentral:rRNA from 1 species
CCUACGGGAGGCAGCAGUAGGGAAUCUUUCACAAUGGGCGAAAGCCUGAUGGAGCAACGCCGCGUGCAGGAUGAAGGCCUUCGGGUUGUAAACUGCUUUUAUAAGCGAGAAAUAUGAUGGUAACUUAUGAAUAAGGAUCGGCUAACUACGUGCCAGCAGCCGCGGUCAUACGUAGGAUCCGAGCAUUAUCCGGAGUGACUGGGUGUAAAGAGUUGCGUAGGUGGCAUAAUAAGUAGCUAGUGAAAUCUGGUGGCUCAACCAUUCAGACUAUUAGCUAAACUGUUAAGCUCGAGACCGUUAGGGGUAAGUGGAAUUUCUAGUGUAGGAGUGAAAUCCGUAGAUAUUAGAAGGAACACCAAUAGCGUAGGCAGGUUGCUGGGACGGUUCUGACACUAAGGCACGAAAGCGUAGGGAGCAAACGGGAUUAGAUACCCCAGUAGUC